ACGGGCUCCGCCAUCUUGGGUCAUCGUACGGAAGGAAGGACAAAACUGCCCUCCAGGAUUUUGAGCAUUUAUUUAGAUCUGCAGUGUGCCAGCACUGUCCUAUGCACUGGAGAUACACAAGGGACAAGACAAAGGGCCUGCUGUCAUGGAACUUCCAUUCUCAUGAGACAGACGGUAACCCACAGGAAAACAUACCACUGCUGGGGCAGGUGCUAGUAAGAAAAAGGCAGCGUGCUGAGGUGACAGAGUGACAUCAUGGAUGGUCACGGAGGCCUCUGGACCAGGAGGCGUGUGCACAGAGCCCUGCCCUCCAGAGCUCAGUCAUGCUGCAGAACUCCUUCAUGAUAACUCCGGAUGAGGCAAGAGAGGAAAAGGAAGAAGAUAGUGUGGACUCCUCACCCAAACAGCUAUCUCUCAUUGCAGCCUUCCUGGACAGUGGGACUAAGAUUUUGAGACAGACAGAGAGAGAGAAACAGAGA